rnacentral:rRNA from 1 species
GGUGAAAAGCACCCCGGAAGGGGAGUGAAAUAGAACCUGAAACCGUGUGCUUACAAGUAGUCAGAGCCCGUUAAUGGGUGAUGGCGUGCCUUUUGUAGAAUGAACCGGCGAGUUACGAUUUGAUGCAAGGUUAAGCAGUAAAUGUGGAGCCGUAGCGAAAGCGAGUCUGAAUAGGGCGUUUAGUAUUUGGUCGUAGACCCGAAACCAGGUGAUCUACCCUUGGUCAGGUUGAAGUUCAGGUAACACUGAAUGGAGGACCGAACCGACUUACGUUGAAAAGUGAGCGGAUGAACUGAGGGUAGCGGAGAAAUUCCAAUCGAACCUGGAGAUAGCUGGUUCUCUCCGAAAUAGCUUUAGGGCUAGCCUCAAGUGAUGAUUAUUGGAGGUAGAGCACUGUUUGGACGAGGGGCCCCUCUCGGGUUACCGAAUUCAGACAAACUCCGAAUGCCAAUUAAUUUAACUUGGGAGUCAGAACAUGGGUGAUAAGGUCCGUGUUCGAAAGGGAAACAGCCCAGACCACCAGCUAAGGUCCCAAAAUAUAUGUUAAGUGGAAAAGGAUGUGGCGUUGCCCAGACAACUAGGAUGUUGGCUUAGAAGCAGCCAUCAUUUAAAGAGUGCGUAAUAGCUCACUAGUCGAGUGACACUGCGCCGAAAAUGUACCGGGGCUAAACAUAUUACCGAAGCUGUGGAUUGUCCUUUGGACAAUGGUAGGAGAGCGUUCUAAGGGCGUUGAAGCAUGAUCGUAAGGACAUGUGGAGCGCUUAGAAGUGAGAAUGCCGGUGUGAGUAGCGAAAGACGGGUGAGAAUCCCGUCCACCGAUUGACUAAGGUUUCCAGAGGAAGGCUCGUCCGCUCUGGGUUAGUCGGGUCCUAAGCUGAGGCCGACAGGCGUAGGCGAUGGAUAACAGGUUGAUAUUCCUGUACCACCUAUAAUCGUUUUAAUCGAUGGGGGGACGCAGUAGGAUAGGCGAAGCGUGCGAUUGGAUUGCACGUCUAAGCAGUAAGGCUGAGUAUUAGGCAAAUCCGGUACUCAUUAAGGCUGAGCUGUGAUGGGGAGAAGACAUUGUGUCUUCGAGUCGUUGAUUUCACACUGCCGAGAAAAUCCUCUAGAUAGAAAAUAGGUGCCCGUACCGCAAACCGACACAGGUAGUCAAGAUGAGAAUUCUAAGGUGAGCGAGCGAACUCUCGUUAAGGAACUCGGCAAAAUGACCCCGUAACUUCGGGAGAAGGGGUGCUCUUUAGGGUUAACGCCCAGAAGAGCCGCAGUGAAUAGGCCCAAGCGACUGUUUAUCAAAAACACAGGUCUCUGCUAAACCGUAAGGUGAUGUAUAGGGGCUGACGCCUGCCCGGUGCUGGAAGGUUAAGAGGAGUGGUUAGCUUCUGCGAAGCUACGAAUCGAAGCCCCAGUAAACGGCGGCCGUAACUAUAACGGUCCUAAGGUAGCGAAAUUCCUUGUCGGGUAAGUUCCGACCCGCACGAAAGGCGUAACGAUUUGGGCACUGUCUCAACGAGAGACUCGGUGAAAUCAUAGUACCUGUGAAGAUGCAGGUUACCCGCGACAGGACGGAAAGACCCCGUGGAGCUUUACUGUAGCCUGAUAUUGAAAUUCGGCACAGCUUGUACAGGAUAGGUAGGAGCCUUUGAAACGUGAGCGCUAGCUUACGUGGAGGCGCUGGUGGGAUACUACCCUAGCUGUGUUGGCUUUCUAACCCGCACCACUUAUCGUGGUGGGAGACAGUGUCAGGCGGGCAGUUUGACUGGGGCGGUCGCCUCCUAAAAGGUAACGGAGGCGCUCAAAGGUUCCCUCAGAAUGGUUGGAAAUCAUUCAUAGAGUGUAAAGGCAUAAGGGAGCUUGACUGCGAGACCUACAAGUCGAGCAGGGUCGAAAGACGGACUUAGUGAUCCGGUGGUUCCGCAUGGAAGGGCCAUCGCUCAACGGAUAAAAGCUACCCCGGGGAUAACAGGCUUAUCUCCCCCAAGAGUUCACAUCGACGGGGAGGUUUGGCACCUCGAUGUCGGCUCAUCGCAUCCUGGGGCUGUAGUCGGUCCCAAGGGUUGGGCUGUUCGCCCAUUAAAGCGGUACGCGAGCUGGGUUCAGAACGUCGUGAGACAGUUCGGUCCCUAUCCGUCGUGGGCGUAGGAAAUUUGAGAGGAGCUGUCCUUAGUACGAGAGGACCGGGAUGGACAUACCUCUGGUGUACCAGUUGUCGUGCCAACGGCAUAGCUGGGUAGCUAUGUGUGGACGGGAUAAGUGCUGAAAG